rnacentral:rRNA from 1 species
AUUGAACGCUGGCGGCGUGCUUAACACAUGCAAGUCGAUCGGUAACGCGGGGCAACCUGGCGACGAGAGGCGGACGGGUGAGUAACGCUUGGGAAUCUGCCUAUUAGUGGGGGACAACCCGGGGAAACUCGGGCUAAUACCGUAUACGCUCCACGGAGGAAAGCAGGGGAUCGCAAGACCUUGCGCUAAUAGAUGAGCCCAAGUCGGAUUAGCUAGUUGGUAGGGUAACGGCCUACCAAGGCGACGAUCCGUAGCUGGUCUGAGAGGACGACCAGCCACACUGGGACUGAGACACGGCCCAGACUCCUACGGGAGGCAGGAGUGGGGAAUAUUGGACAAUGGGGGAAACCCUGAUCCAGCGACGCCGCGUGGGUGAAGAAGGCCUGCGGGUUGUAAAGCCCUUUCGGUAGGGAAGAAAAGCCUCGACCUAACACGUCGGGGUAUUGACGUAACCUACAAAAGAAGCACCGGCUAACUCUGUGCCAGCCGCCGCCGUAA